rnacentral:tRNA from 1 species
GGGGAUGUAGCAUAGUGGGUAGAGAUCUAGCCUCACAAACUAGAGACCCUGGGUUUGAUCUCCAGCAUUGCCU